CGGUCGGUUCGACUAGCUUAAGCCGAACCACAAGUCCAGUUCGUUCUCGUUACCUAGCUUGACUUCAGUGUUGCUUCUAACCAGGUAAACCUCUGGCUCCGGGGCGAACCAUAACUCUUACCUCAUUACCACGAAAGGUGCGCUCUCUCAGCAAUUCGGCCCAGGUCACAUCUGGCACCACCCAGAAUAGACGUGGGGGAAGGGAACCCACUUUGAACUUCAAAGGAGGUGGUAAAAUUUGCUUGGAGUUGCUGUGUUCCCAGAGGCAUUUACCUUGUCCUGCCCAAGAUGAGAUGCUGUCUGAUCGAGGCGAAGCUGUAAUUCCCAUAGUGAUGAGGAUUUUUCCAACUGAAUGCGUCUUGCUCCAACACAGACUAUCUUGUGUAAAUGUGUCACUCUACCAUACAUUUGUUUUUUAAACACUGUUACUCUUCAGUAAACUGUCAUUUGCUUUUUCUUUGCUAAAAAUAUCACCAUACUCUGUCACCCUCUUUAAUCAGUCCAA